GGGAGGUAGUGACAAUAAAUAACAAUACAGGGUUCUUUUGGAUCUUGUAAUUGGAAUGAGUACAAUUUAAAUCUCUUAACGAGGAACAAUUGGAGGGCAAGUCUGGUGCCAGCAGCCGCGGUAAUUCCAGCUCCAAUAGCGUAUAUUAAAGUUGUUGCAGUUAAAAAGCUCGUAGUUGAAUUUCGGGAUCAAUAUUUCGGUCAUGCCGUUGGUAUGCACUGUUAUCAUUGAUUUCUCACCUUCUAAAGAACCGUAAUGCCAUUAAUUUGGUGUUACGGGGAAUUAGGACUGUUACCUUGAAAAAAUUAGAGUGUUUAAAGCAGGCUCACGCUUGAAUACAUUAGCAUGGAAUAAUAAAAUAGGACGUUUGAUCCUAUUUUGUUGGUUUCUAGGAUUGACGUAAUGAUUAAUAGGGAUAGUUGGG
rnacentral:rRNA from 1 species